rnacentral:tRNA from 1 species
AUUCUAAUAGCUUAAUUGAGAGCAUGAUAUUGAAGAUAUCAAGGUGACUUAAUGUCUUAGGAUA